rnacentral:rRNA from 1 species
CAGGCCUAACACAUGCAAGUCGAACGGGCUAGCAAUAGUCAGUGGCGCACGGGUGCGUAACACGUGGGUAAUCAACCCUUCAGCUUGGGAUAACGCCUUGAAAGGGGCGCUAAUACCGGAUACGGCGCGAGAGUCCUCGGACUUUCACGAGAAAGAUUCGCAAGGAUCACUGAAGGACGAGCCUGCGGCCCAUCAGCUAGUUGGUGAGGUAAGAGCUCACCAAGGCGAAGACGGGUAGCCGGCCUGAGAGGGUGACCGGCCACACUGGGACUGAGACACGGCCCAGACUCCUACGGGAGGCAGCAGUGGGGAAUAUUGGACAAUGGGCGAAAGCCUGAUCCAGCCAUGCCGCGUGAGUGAUGAAGGCCUUAGGGUUGUAAAGCUCUUUCGACGGGGACGAUAAUGACGGUACCCGUAGAAGAAGCCCCGGCUAACUUCGUGCCAGCAGCCGCGGUAAU